CGGGCACUUUAGGGGGACUGCCGGUGACAAGCCGGAGGAGGGUGGGGAUGACGUCAAGCCCUCAUGGCCUUUAUGACCAGGGCUACACACGUGUUACAAUGGGAGUUACAGAGGGAAGCUAAGCCGCGAGGCCAUGCCAAUCCCAGAAAAACUUUCUCAGUUCGGAUCGCAGUCUGCAACUCGACUGCGUGAAGCUGGAAUCGCUAGUAAUCGCGGAUCAGCACGCCGCGGUGAAUACGUUCCCGGGCCUUGUACACACCGCCCGUCACACCAUGGGAGCCGACAAGGGCAGAAGUCGCCGAGCUAACCUUCGGGAAGCAGGCGCCCAAGCUGUUGUUGACGACUGGGGUGAAGUCGUAACAAGGUAGCCGUAGGAGAACCUGCGGCUGGAUCACCUCCUUUCUAAGGACGCCGGGGAUGCUUUAUGCUUAUCUCCGGAUAGUCAAAGUCGAAACAGACUCUCUUCUCUUCUCUCCCUUUUCUCCUGUAAAUGCUAAGUUAUGAAUUUAGAGCAACGAAGAAAUUGAAUUCGUUACUGUGGACUCCUAAUUUCAAGAGGGGCCUGUAGCUCAGCUUGGUUAGAGCGCAUCCCUGAUAAGGAUGAGGCCGGUGGUUCAAGUCCACCCAGGCCCACCAGCUCAUUUUUGAUUUAGAUAUGGAUUUAGCGGCUAUGAUGGUGGCAAAUCUGAGGUCUGGUAAUCCAAAUCAGAUAUUAAAGAUCGGGGGAUUAGCUCAGCUGGUAGAGCGCCUGCUUUGCAAGCAGGAGGUCAGCGGUUCGACCCCGCUAUCCUCCACCAAAUUAAUGAACAGUAAAAAAAGGUGGUGCAGCUUAGCAGAAGAUAGGCUUCAGCAAUUAUUUAAUAAUUUCUGAAUUUUAUUUUUUAAUAUCUUAGACAAUUAAAUCGGAGGUUUUGGAGACACAAGAUCAAAUGUGAGGGUCUCCAAGGGUUGACGAUCUUGACUGUUAAAGUCAGGUAGUAAGGGCGCAGGGCGGAUGCCUUGGCUCUGGGAAGCGAAGAAGGACGUGGCCAGCUGCGAUAAGCCUCGGG
rnacentral:sRNA from 1 species